CCUAAUUAUAUCUCACCAGAUAAUGAAUAUGUAAACUAUUUUACAAACAUGUUAUGUACAUUUAGCAUAAUCGAAUAAAAACUGGGGAUUUAUUUAUCAGUAGGAGGGAGAGCCGCGCUGACAAGCACCGUUUAAAGGCGGCGGCAGUGGUCAAGUUAUAGAUGAAUCUGCAGUCCACGGAAAAGGCCUCAUUUCUUUUAUUUGGAAAAACAACACUGCAAACUGCCAAGUUUUCGCAAUAUCCGAGGAUAUGCUGAAAAUGUGUUUCCUUGGAUACUCCGUUGUGAUCCAUCAGGUCCAACACCACCCCACCCCAAACACCAAAAAGUAAAAAAGAAAAAAAAAAUAAAAUUCAAAACCUGUUUUCUUCAUUGUGAAUCCACAUUUUUUAAUCUUAUAUAGGUAAAAUUCUAAACAGGGACUAUUGCUAGAAUGAAGGAAGAGCACACAACCCCUAUAUAGGCUAUAAGAUUACUUCAAAGAAGAUUCAAAGUUAGAAGCAUUAUAUGCAUGAUUUGCAUACAGAUCGACCCAAAAAUAGAAGAUCAAGAACCCAUAUUCCAAUCUUCCACAGUAAACCGAUAUAUAUACACACACUGAUAUAUAUAAUUUAUAUGUGCAUACAAUUACUCAUACAGAAGUGACAGAAAUAUUGGGCAGUUGUGAAGAAGAGAAGGCCAAGAAAAUCAGCAGAACCAUGAUCAAAACUGGGACAAGGAGCAGAACCGGGGGCGGCGGCGGAAGUGGUGGCAGAACCAGUGGCAACACCAAGAGUGAUAAAGUUAACAUAACCAUUAUAAUCACCUCUCUUAAACUAAAAUACAUGAACGUCAAAUUCUUCGAUGGCUUUUGGUUUCACUACUUUUCACCUUAAAUGCUAGACUUUGCUCAAUCCUGUACAUCUUCAUCUUCAUCCAUUACAGUCUAACAAUCCCAAUUUCCGUUUCUAAUGUCCUACAGUACUUCUUCUGCUCUGAAAUCUAGAAUUUAUGUUAUCAAUGACGGGAGAUUAAUGGCUAGGCGUUACGAGGGAGAAGGUGAGACGGGUCUUUGUCAAUUCGACACGUCAUCUGACAAAGCAUUAACGUAAUGUCAAAGUUUGGUUAGAUUCAUUGUACCAGUGUCUGAUUUUUUGUGUAAUAUUUUAGGAGAGGGAAAAAACCUUUGGAGUCCCCAGCUUAUUAAAAAUAUAGAAAUAAACUUUUUUUUUUUUUUUCUAAAAACCGUAUCAACCUUUUACCUAUGAUUUUUUUUUUUUUUUUUGUGAGUUACGAGUAGUUUAUAUUACCAACGGAAUUGUCGUUGCUAAUAUUAAUCAAUUUCAAAAGAAUUCUUA
rnacentral:lncRNA from 1 species